CACUCUUCAACCUCACCAUCCCUUUUCAUUCUUCAUAUCCAUUCCCUAACCUCCAUACCCGCAUUACACUCAUCCUCACACAUUCUUGGUCCCUUCCCACAAUUUUUCAUCAUGCAUGCACCCAUCCUUCACCUAUCCCCACCACCUUUGCAUGGCCACGCAUGGCCACUUCUACUCACUUUUCCAUACCCACCUUGCCACCAUCUUCUAAUGCCCAUGCAUAUACCCUUUCAAUCUUCACAUGUCCCUCACCACCUUCUCUCUCUCUACACCACAUCGUAUACCCGUCUUCGUUCAUGACCACUACCCAUCCCCGCACCAUGCAAGGAUCACCCCGAAUCCUCUCCCAACUCCUCCAUUAAAGUCCCAUUCCCGUCAUGCCUAAGUCCCCAUAAAGGAUCGCUUCACGCUUGAGACACCAUGCC
rnacentral:lncRNA from 1 species